AGAGUUUGAUCAUGGCUCAGGACGAACGCUGGCGGCGUGCUUCAAACAUGCAAGUCGAACGGAGUUAAUUUUGAAGCUUGCUUUAGAAUUAACUUAGUGGCGGACUGGUGAGUAACGCGUGAGUAAUCUGCCUAUCACAGGGGGAUAACAGAGGGAAACUUCUGCUAAUACCGCAUAAGACCACAGGAUGGCAUCAUCAAGGGGUCAAAGGUUAGAUCUGGUGAUAGAUGAGCUUGCGUAUCAUUAGCUAGUUGGUGAGGGUAAAGGCCCACCAAGGCGACGAUGAUUAGCCGAUCUGAGAGGAUGACCGG
rnacentral:rRNA from 1 species